CCUCCUCCUCCUCCUCCGUCUCCUUCUGCUCCCGCUCCGCGAGGGCCCGGCCGCCGCUCCGCGCCUCGCCCCGCCCCGGGAAUGCGCUGCUCGGCGGCCGCUCGUAGGAGCUGCGCGGCGGGCGGGGAGCGGGAUGGAGGUGGAGGAGGCGUUCCCGCUGGUCGGGCAGAUGGGCCCUUACCAGGUGUACCUGUGCGUCCUGCUGGCCGUGCUCCUCCAGCUCUAUGUGGCCACUGAAGCCAUUCUCAUCGCAUUGGUGGGUGCAACUCCUCCCUACCACUGGGAUCUCCAAGGGCUCUCAGCUAAUCAGAGCCAUGGCAACCAUUCAGUGAGCGAGCAGGGGGCAUUUGGGGAAUGGCUUCUGACUGCCAACGGCAGCGAGGUGCGUAAGCACGUACACUUCGGCAGCAGCUUCACGUCCAUAGUCUCUGAGUGGUUUUUAAUUGGCAAUGCAUCAUACAAAGUCAGUGCUGCCAGUUCUUUCUACUUCAGUGGUGUGUUUGUUGGAGCCAUCUCCUUUGGCCAGCUGUCUGAUCGUUUUGGGAGGAAGAAAGUCUAUCUCACAGGUUUUGCUCUUGACAUCUUGUUUGCCAUUGCAAAUGGAUUCUCACCCUCGUAUGAAUUCUUUGCCGUUUCCCGAUUCUUGGUAGGGAUGAUGAAUGGUGGGAUGUCACUGGUAGCCUUUGUUCUACUGAAUGAGUGUGUGGGUACAGCCUACUGGGCAUUAGCAGGUUCUAUUGGUGGCUUGUUCUUUGCUGUUGGAAUUGCCCAGUAUGCUUUAUUAGGGUAUUUCAUUCGUUCCUGGAGGACUCUGGCUGUUGUGGUUAAUCUGGAAGGAACAGUCGUCUUUCUUCUCUCUCUAUUCAUUCCCGAGUCCCCCCGCUGGCUCUAUUCCCAGGGCCGUCUGAACGAGGCAGAAGAUGCCCUCUACCUCAUUGCAAAGAGGAACCGCAAGCAGAAAUGCACUUUUUCAUUAAAACUCCCAGCAGAGAGGAGCUCCAGAGAGGCUGGCAGCUUUCUGGACCUGUUCCGAUACAGGAUUCUCCUGGGACGCACCUUGAUCAUGAUGUUCACCUGGUUUGUGUGCAGCUUGGUUUACUACGGUCUUACCCUUAAUGUGGGUGACUUAGGUGGAAGUAUUUAUGCCAAUUUAGCCUUGUCAGGCCUGAUAGAAAUCCCAGCGUACCCAAUCUGUAUUUACUUGAUCAACCAGAAAUGGUUUGGUCGGAAGCGAACAUUGAGUGCAUUUCUGUUCCUGGGAGGAUUGGCUUGUCUUAUUGUCAUGUUUCUGCCUAAGAAAAGAGAUACUGGAGUGUUUGCAGUGGUAAAUAGUCGCUCUCUGUCUUUGCUGGGAAAACUGACAAUCAGUGCUGCUUUUAAUAUUGUCUACAUCUACACAUCAGAACUUUAUCCCACAGUCAUAAGGAAUGUUGGAAUGGGUGCCUGCUCCAUGUUUUCCCGUGUUGGUGGAAUCAUUGCGCCUUUCGUCCCUUCAUUGGUUUGUCGGAACUUCUGUUACGUAUAUUUUUGUUUUGUGGUUCUGGUGUAUCAGAAGCUUACAGAGAUGGGAAUGUUUGGGAUAAAUUUCAUUUAUAAAUUAAGAUACAUAAAUUGCCUAUCUUAACAGUAUCAUGGUAAGCCAAAGGCUUAGUAUAUUCUGUGUGAUUAGACAAAACCUCAGCAUUAUUUAAGUUAGAAGGUAUUUUAGCUCUGUAAGAAUUUUGGGACCUAUCUAGUGGACCUUAAAAUAUAAUUAUUUCAAAUCACCAAGAUGUUGAUACCAAAUUUUAAACCCUGCACAAGCAAUAGCAAAAUACCCAUGUGGUUAAAAGAACUACUGCAUCAAAAUUAAGCAUAUGGGCUCAAUAACUCAUAUUUUUGAGAAAAAGUUUGGUUUAGUGUCAGUACACUUCAUUAAAUAUCCAUGGGUUAUAAAUAUCAGCAAAUCAGUUUGCCUUUCAGUAAAUGAAGUUGAUGUGGAGAGCUGAUACACUGGCAAGGCAAAGAAAGAUUCUAAAGAACAAAACAUGGGAAUGAUACCAUUACUUUCCUGUGCUUAGUGUGUUAUGUGUAUGCAGGAAAAAGUGUGCCAAUUUUUCCCAGCUGUUUGCUGAGGCGCAGUGACAAUUCCUUUAAUGUGACAGAUUUCAUCUCAGGUAAUUUUCCUCUCUGCCAUUUGCCAUUUUACAUGUGAGGCAGAAGGUUAGCAAAAGGGCAGGUGAGCACAGGGAGCCCUUUAAUCUCCAGAACGAAGCACUGGGCAGGUGAGAGCAUGAGCACCUCUGGGGAGCAACAGGCAAAGCCAAGACUGCUGCCAGUCUGCCAGGUGGAUUUAAUAGGCAGCUUUUAUGUGGCAGUUGGGGCAUUCAUUAUAUUGUGUCUGCCGUAGAUUUGAUACUGCAUGAGAUACAAAUCUUGGAUCAUAAUGUUUGAAAGGGGUCCAUGAAAAGAAAAGUAAUUCUGGUUACAUAACAAAUGAACCCUGAUUUGAGAAAAUAAUCAAUAAUUUUUGUGUUUCAUAAUUUCUUGCAGUAUUUUGAAGAAUUUUCAGUGUCUUUUUUUUGGAGAUCUCAUAAUAGUAAAAAUAGAAGUUAACUGCUGAGAUAAGAGAUGAAAUGUUGGUCUUUUAUUUGAUCACAGCCUGUUAUUUUCAUCAAUUUACAAUUGCUCUCAGCAAUGUGAGUUCUUGAAACAAACAGCUAAACUCUUUCCCUGUUUUAAAAUAAGCCUUCUUUACUGUGGAAACAGGGACAGGCAUCAGAAGAGGAGUAUGAACAUUGCUUGGGCUGUCACAGGUGAUGCCAGGAAUGCCAAAGCUCAGUUGAAGCUAAAACUAGCAAGGACCAUAAAUAGGGAUUCUGUCAGCUGAAGGAAACAUGCUUGCUGCUGAAUGGGAGAGGCAUCCCGUUGGUGGGUGACAUGGAAUAAGCUGAAAUACUUGUGCUUCAGUCUUGAGAGACAAAGCUUCUCUCCAACACUCUGCCUGUCAGCACAGUUGAGGAAGCAGAAGGCCAGCAAACAGUAGGAGGAGCAGUAGGUUCAAGAACACUUACAGCUGAAAGCUUUCCAUUCCAUGGGAAAUCUGUACAGUGGUCUCUGCCUUACAUUGUGUUUGGAGCAACUGGUCUGUUGUCUGGGCUCUUAAGCUUGUUGUUGCCAGAGACCUUAAACAGCCCUUUGCUAGAAAC